rnacentral:rRNA from 1 species
UGCAGUCGAGCGAACAGAUAAGGAGCUUGCUCCUUUGACGUUAGCGGCGGACGGGUGAGUAACACGUGGGUAACCUACCUAUAAGACUGGGAUAACUUCGGGAAACCGGAGCUAAUACCGGAUAACAUUUGGAACCGCAUGGUUCUAAAGUGAAAGAUGGUUUUGCUAUCACUUAUAGAUGGACCCGCGCCGUAUUAGCUAGUUGGUAAGGUAACGGCUUACCAAGGCGACGAUACGUAGCCGACCUGAGAGGGUGAUCGGCCACACUGGAACUGAGACACGGUCCAGACUCCUACGGGAGGCAGCAGUAGGGAAUCUUCCGCAAUGGGCGAAAGCCUGACGGAGCAACGCCGCGUGAGUGAUGAAGGGUUUCGGCUCGUAAAACUCUGUUAUUAGGGAAGAACAAAUGUGUAAGUAACUGUGCACGUCUUGACGGUACCUAAUCAGAAAGCCACGGCUAACUACGUGCCAGCAGCCGCGGUAAUACGUAGGUGGCAAGCGUUAUCCGGAAUUAUUGGGCGUAAAGCGCGCGUAGGCGGUUUCUUAAGUCUGAUGUGAAAGCCCACGGCUCAACCGUGGAGGGUCAUUGGAAACUGGGAAACUUGAGUGCAGAAGAGGAAAGUGGAAUUCCAUGUGUAGCGGUGAAAUGCGCAGAGAUAUGGAGGAACACCAGUGGCGAAGGCGACUUUCUGGUCUGUAACUGACGCUGAUGUGCGAAAGCGUGGGGAUCAAACAGGAUUAGAUACCCUGGUAGUCCACGCCGUAAACGAUGAGUGCUAAGUGUUAGGGGGUUUCCGCCCCUUAGUGCUGCAGCUAACGCAUUAAGCACUCCGCCUGGGGAGUACGACCGCAAGGUUGAAACUCAAAGGAAUUGACGGGGACCCGCACAAGCGGUGGAGCAUGUGGUUUAAUUCGAAGCAACGCGAAGAACCUUACCAAAUCUUGACAUCCUUUGAAAACUCUAGAGAUAGAGCCUUCCCCUUCGGGGGACAAAGUGACAGGUGGUGCAUGGUUGUCGUCAGCUCGUGUCGUGAGAUGUUGGGUUAAGUCCCGCAACGAGCGCAACCCUUAAGCUUAGUUGCCAUCAUUAAGUUGGGCACUCUAGGUUGACUGCCGGUGACAAACCGGAGGAAGGUGGGGAUGACGUCAAAUCAUCAUGCCCCUUAUGAUUUGGGCUACACACGUGCUACAAUGGACAAUACAAAGGGCAGCUAAACCGCGAGGUCAUGCAAAUCCCAUAAAGUUGUUCUCAGUUCGGAUUGUAGUCUGCAACUCGACUACAUGAAGCUGGAAUCGCUAGUAAUCGUAGAUCAGCAUGCUACGGUGAAUACGUUCCCGGGUCUUGUACACACCGCCCGUCACACCACGAGAGUUUGUAACACCCGAAGCCGGUGGAGUAACCAUUUAUGGAGCUAGCCGU